rnacentral:rRNA from 1 species
AUUGAACGCUGGCGGCAGGCCUAACACAUGCAAGUCGAGCGAGCGGCGGACGGGUGAGUAAUGUAUGGGGCUCUGCCCGAUAGAGGGGGAUAACUACUGGAAACGGUGGCUAAUACCGCAUACUCUCGGAUGAACCCAUAUGGGAUUAGCUAGUAGGUGGGGUAAAGGCUCACCUAGGCGACGAUCUCUAGCUGGUCUGAGAGGAUGAUCAGCCACACUGGGACUGAGACACGGCCCAGACUCCUACGGGAGGCAGCAGUGGGGAAUAUUGCACAAUGGGCGCAAGCCUGAUGCAGCCAUGCCGCGUGUGUGAAGAAGGCCUUCGGGUUGUAAAGUACUUUCAGCGAGGAGGCGUUACUCGCAGAAGAAGCACCGGCUAACUCCGUGCCAGCAGCCGCGGUAAUAC